rnacentral:rRNA from 1 species
AUUGAACGCUGGCGGCAGGCCUAACACAUGCAAGUCGAGCGAGCGGCGGACGGGUGAGUAAUGUCUGGGAAACUGCCUGAUGGAGGGGGAUAACUACUGGAAACGGUAGCUAAUACCGCAUACCAUCAGAUGUGCCCAGAUGGGAGUAGCUCUUGGGUGGGGUAACGGCUCACCUAGGCGACGAUCCCGAGCUGGUCUGAGAGGAUGACCAGCCACACGGGAUCUGAAGCACGGUCCAGCCUCCUACGUGCGGCAGCCGUGGGGAAUAUUGCACAAUGGGCGCAAGCCUGAUGCCGCCCUGCCGCGUGUGUUAAGAAGGCCUUCGGGUUGUAAAGCACUUUCAGCGGGGAGGCGUUACCCGCAGAAGAAGCACCGGCUAACUCCGUGCCAGCAGCCGCGGUAAUUC